AAAUGCCGGCAUAUAUAUAUUUUCAACAUUUGACAUAACCCUGUAUGUUUUGCAGGGACAACCCAGGACGUGCAUUUCUCAACACCCAGUCAACUGCCAAAAGUGACUCAAACACAGGCCACCAGUGGAACUCGGCUGUACCACUGCAGUGCUGCGGAAAUUGCCAGCACCAGCGGCUUUGCAACAGCUGUUUCGCAGCAUGUCGGAGACAAUGCCUACGAAAUUAUUGG
rnacentral:lncRNA from 1 species